AGGAUUAUUCUUGUUAUUUACAAUGAUAUUUUCAGUAGUUUCUGUCAUGUCCAACUCUUUGUGACCCCAUUUGGAAAUUUCUUAGCCAAGAUACUGGAGUGGUUUGCUAUUUCCUUCUCCAGCUCAUUUUACCAAUGAGGAAACUGGAGCAAACAGGGUUAAGUGACUUACCCAGAAUCAUCCAGCAGUAAGUAUCUGAGGACAUAUUUAAACUAUUGGGGUUAAGAUAAACAUUUGGUGUAAAUUAAGAGUUUAGUAAGCUAAGGACAGAGUGAAAGAGUGUCAGAUCAACUUCUGAGGCCUAGCUUGGAAUCUUGGGCAAAGUUCCUGCAGGGAAUCUUGGGAAGCUUAAAAGGAUUGGACUUCCAACUGCCAAGUGUCUCUUGGACAGUGUGGAAAGGAAACAAGACUGACAGUUGGUGGGGGAAGGGGCAAUUGGGAGUGGCAUUUGUGUCUUGUGACUAGCACUUCCUUCCAAGAGAAGCCUUCCUCUCCGAGGCUGGUUGGAUCCUGCUGUCAGAAUCUACUUUGGAAAACUGGGAAAACCAAUAGUUACAGUUGUAGGAGGAACCAAAUUGUGGAGAAGAUCAAGAGAAAGAAGAAAAGAGACUUUAUUUUUCUACCUCUGUGUAACUGAAGACAAAGGCGUCAUUUUGCUCUUCCAAAAAAUGAAAGAAAAACCACUUACUCUAUGCCAGGUGAGGGAAAGUGUUGCAGAAUGGAUGGAAAAAUGGCUUCAGCAUCAGAAAAAAGUAAAUGGAAGUCUAGCCUCUAUCCAAAGCUGGUUGUGAUCCUAAUCAAAUCUCAAUGUUACAGGCACCUGUAAGUUACAAAGAAGGUGUCAGUGUGCCUUGAUAGAGGAAGUUUCUCAGCAAUGUUUCUCUCUUCUGAUGCAAUCAUAGGUCAAGUGUUAAAAAAAAAACUGUCAGUGAUACCACAUUCAGACCAUUCAUAUACAAAAGGGUAUCAGGUCCUGCUCUUGAAGAAUCUACAUUGAACAAAGAGAGGCAACACAGAAGGGAUUUGGUGCUAGGGAAGAGAGUUUUUGCCUUUAAGUCACAGGCAUGAUGAGUAAGACCAUAGAAUAUUUGAUUUCCAUGUCCUUACAGAAGCAAUAGUAGUAUUACUUUGAUACUGUUAUCAGAGGAAGACAUAGAAAGCCAGAUUAGGGGUAAGUAAGUAGCUAAUGGUCAGAACUAAAGGACAAAAGGUCAAGAUGUCCAGAAGAGAUGGAUGCCAAACUUGAUCUGAGCAGGAAUUCCAAAGCUGAAUAGAUUACAUCUUCCAUGCAUGGCUCCUGGGGGUUUGUACCAGAGUAGGUUGUCCUAACUCCCUUAGCCAACAUAUCCAUUCAUUUAUCAAGCCCUGCCAUUUCUGUCUUCACAUAUCUCUGAGUUCAAACCUUUCCUCUGUACUCCUCCUGUAGAGAAAUAGCUCACAAAGAAAUCUUUUUGACUCCUAAUCAUUGUUUCUUCCAUUGCCUGCACAGGCAGUACCUAAAGUCACACACAGAGCAGAGGACACAAAGCACAGUUCUUUCCACUGAAUCAUGCUACAUCCUUUCAUAGGAUCCUUGAGGCACAUUGGCAGAGUUAAAAAAAAAUCACACACAUAGCAACAUGGCAAACCACUUAAAAAAACUUUCUUUAACUUUUUAGGCAACUGUCUGACUUUUCUUCACCUUCACAUAGCUACAUCUGGAUCGGGAGAGUGCCCAGAGGAAGGAAGCCAAUGAAGAACUCCCAAACAAGCCAAACCACAAUGUCUGAACCAAGGAAGCUGGACAACGUAUUUCCUCUAUUCUAUGCACCUGGUUUCUCUGCUUGGAAUAGAUGUAGCCCACAGGGUUAACUGAGUUUGCAGUCUGCUCAAGGGGAAAGUGUGCUGACCCUCUGUUGCCUGCUGUUAUGCCCAUACCAACAAAAUUAUGGGAAACCCCAGCCAGACUAUUCUAAGGACCACAGGCAUGUCUGGUUUGUCAGAUUAUUACAGAAAUUUUUCCAUGAACAAUAUGAAUCAAGUUGUAUAUAACUAAACAAUAUUUCCUUGAUUUACUUUUGUGGUGGUUCUGCCUCCUUUCUCCAAACUGCCAUUAGAUAAUGGUUGAACAUCUGAUGAGUCAAGCAUUCAAUUGAAGCCACCUGUUUGAAGGAUGGGCCUAAGGGUUUUUAUUCACUGUGAAGAGAAAGCCUACUUUAUUUUCUUUUCAUGGUAGGAAAAGAGGAAACCUAGCAUGCAUGAGUUUGUAUAGUGGAUCAUUGUUAGCUUUAUUAUAGGUUCAUAGAUUGAGAACUGACAGUUGAGAAUUCACAAGGAUCUCAGAGGUCAUCGAGUUUAUCACUCUGAUUAUACAGAGAAGGAAGUCCAAGCCCAGAGUUGUAAAGUGACUUAUUUAUCCAAUGUAAUACAGUAAGGAGAUAGCAGAACUAGGAUUUGAAACCAGGUCUUUUGACUCCAAAUCUAAUCAGGCAGCAAUUCAAUCAACAUCCAUUAGUUUUAUGCUAUGACCUAAGAACCUUUUUUAAGUGCUAUGGUACCAAACCAAAAUAAAAAGGCCAUAGACAGCUCCA
rnacentral:lncRNA from 1 species